CUGACCGGAGAGGAAAGCAUUAUAGUAAAUAAACCAUCUGAAGAUCACAUGACUCGUGUGUCACAAACUUGGAGCAGGAAACAGAGCACCAUGACGGAGCCUCCAACUCACUCCCUAAUAGCAGAGAUAAACAAAGACAAAAAGAUCCUAGAAGUCACCCAGAAGAUCAUAGAGCUGCUGACAGGAGAGGUUCCUAUAAGGUGUCAGGAUGUCACUGUCUAUUUCUCCAU